GUAGCUGGUACCGUUUGAUGCCGGGCUUAGAAGGUGUGGGGAACCAUUCUAAGUGUUUGGAGAUGUUAAUCCAAACUAACAACGAGGAGAGGGGCUGUUGUUAAGCUUUCCUCCUCGGGGUGUGAACAUCCCAUCGCGAGCUGGGGUUCUACCGGGCGUGUACUAUGACGAUGGUGCUCCGUGGUCUAGAGCUUUCCUCGCCAACAUCAUCGAGCUCCAAACGUCUCGACUUUGUUUUAUAUUUUAAGAUUCAUGCCCGUACCUAAGCACUCCUCCGUUGUAUAGGCGUGCUUCUCAUGGGCGAAGACACAGCCUUCGUUGAGGGACGGUUUUGAACUUCUCUCAACUGUAGUAUUGUUUGAGCUUUUCGGCAUUCCAAGGUCGAGGAAUUUCUUUUCCGUAAAGAUCUUCCAAAUAACAGGCACCGUUCUCGGUUUUGGCUCGAACACGAUAAGGUCCCUCCCAAUUUGCCGCGAGUUUACCCUCGCGAGAAUCUUUUUGGUUGCGUCGGAGUACUAGCGUCCCAACGUCAAAUUCUCGCUUGAUGACCCUUUUGUCAU
rnacentral:lncRNA from 1 species